rnacentral:rRNA from 1 species
GCAGGCUGCAACUCGCCUGCAUGAAGUCGGAAUUGCUAGUAAUCGCGGAUCAGCAUGCCGCGGUGAAUACGUUCCCGGGCCUUGUACACACCGCCCGUCACACCAUGGGAGUCGGUAACACCCGAAGCCGAUAGUCUAACGAAAGAGGACGUCGUCGAAGGUGGGAUUGAUGACUGGGGUGAAGUCGUAACAAGGUAUC